AUUUAAUUCUUAAAUUGGAAUAACAGUUAUUACUUUUUCUUUAUUGUUUGAUUACUUUCUCAUCAAAAGGUCUCAAAUGGGUCAGUUGGAAAAAGUGAUCGAAUGGAUUUGGUCAAAAUGGAUCUAAAUAUAAAUUUAUUCUCAAAGUGAAACAAAGGACAAUGAGAAGAAGGAAAAAAAAUAAGAUGGAUGGAUUAUCUUCCAAAAUAAACCACAAUUAUUCAAUUUUA